rnacentral:rRNA from 1 species
CCUACGGGAGGCAGCAGUGAGGAAUAUUGGUCAAUGGGCGUAAGCCUGAACCAGCCAAGUCGCGUGAGGGAUGAAGGUUCUAUGGAUCGUAAACCUCUUUUAUAAGGGAAUAAAGUGCGGGACGUGUCCCGUUUUGUAUGUACCUUAUGAAUAAGGAUCGGCUAACUCCGUGCCAGCAGCCGCGGUAAUACGGAGGAUCCGAGCGUUAUCCGGAUUUAUUGGGUUUAAAGGGUGCGUAGGCGGCCUUUUAAGUCAGCGGUGAAAGUCUGUGGCUCAACCAUAGAAUUGCCGUUGAAACUGGGAGGCUUGAGUAUGUUUGAGGCAGGCGGAAUGCGUGGUGUAGCGGUGAAAUGCUUAGAUAUCACGCAGAACCCCGAUUGCGAAGGCAGCCUACCAAGCCAUGACUGACGCUGAUGCACGAAAGCGUGGGGAUCAAACAGGAUUAGAUACCCUUGUAGUC